rnacentral:rRNA from 1 species
UAAUACGUAGGGAGCAAGCGUUGUCCGGAUUUACUGGGUGUAAAGGGUGCGUAGGCGGCUUUGCAAGUCAGAUGUGAAAUCUAUGGGCUCAACCCAUAAACUGCAUUUGAAACUGUAGAGCUUGAGUGAAGUAGAGGCAGGCGGAAUUCCCCGUGUAGCGGUGAAAUGCGUAGAGAUGGGGAGGAACACCAGUGGCGAAGGCGGCCUGCUGGGCUUUAACUGACGCUGAGGCACGAAAGCGUGGGUAGCAAACAGGAUUAGAUACCCUGGUAGUCCACGCUGUAAACGAUGAUUACUAGGUGUGGGGGGUCUGACCCCUUCCGUGCCGGAGUUAACACAAUAAGUAAUCCACCUGGGGAGUACGGCCGCAAGGUUGAA